UUUAUAAAUUAAACUUUAUCGUAGGUAUGUAUGUAUAGGGAAAAAACAUAGUAUAUGGGGUUCAGUACUAUCCACGGUUUCGGGCAUCCUCUGGGGGGCUUAGAACAUACCCCCCAGGAAUAAGGAGGACUACUGGAUUGGCCAAGGUUGUUACACCAACUCCUUACUCUGAGAAAUGUUCAUUAAAGCCAAAACACGAUGCAUUUUUUUUCUGCCUUCCAGUAGGAACCAGUACUGCCAGUUUCAGGAUGACCACAUAGUCCCAGCUGAUGACACAAGAAUGCUCUUCCUUACAGAACAAUGCCAGCUAAUAAAAGUCAAAGACAUAGCAUUAGAAAACACCCUCUUGCAAUCCCUAAUAAAGGAAUUGAUUCAGGCAAGGAGUAUCAAUGGAUGCUAGAACCACUAGAUAAAAUGUCUCUGGGGGCAAUGGUGGAUCUAAGGAAGAAAAUGCAAAGUUACAAGGUUUUACGAAUAUUUCUGUGGAUAAGAAAACCUGGCAGGCCUUGUGCUGUGUCUAGAGUUUCUGGGGUCACCACAGAGCAGGAGCAACAAAAUGAGGUUGCCACCUUGGACCACCCACUGAGCAGCGACCCCACCCCCCACCAGAAGCCUUUCACACCUAUGAGUUCACUUACCCUUGUCAGCUUCCAGAUGAGGCUGACGGCUGCUGGUCUGGGGAUCAUGCUUUGAAAACCACCGCUUUAGAGUUUACAGAGAAUGGGAUCCAAAUGAAUCGAAGCCUCGCUGAGAAGUGGGUGUCUAGGGGUAGAGAUGGAGUCAACUACCUGCUGGUGAGCUCGGCCUAGGUCUUAGCAGAGUUGCCUGAGAACUAAUGGAGCAGGAAGAACACCAGCUCUGAAAUCUGACUACUAACUGCAGCAUUGUGUCUUCCUCAUUUCAACCAGGGAAUAAUGGUCUUCAGCUCACAGAAUCAUGAGGAUUAUAUGAGGUAGUAUAUGAAAAGGAUCUGUCCUGUAGCCAGCUCAAUAAA